UUUUCAUGCUCGCCGGCCACCCAAGCUCCAUCUACUGGGUGCCAUAGCCGGUCUGCUGGCAUCUUCUUAGGUUGGUGAAGUUACAGUUGCUCAUACUACCAGGUCAGAGAGUCGGUUUUUUAUCUAAUAGACCUGGCAUAACGGACAUAGCACUUACCACUUCGAAGAAAUUGCUAACGUCAAUAUUAGAUACAAAUCCCUCACCCCUGUGUGUGAGAUAGCUAAUUUGAACAGAUUUUUUCCAUAGAAGAAGAAUACCAUGAUUAUAGGUAAGAAAAUUCUGUAAUAUAUAUAAUUCUACACUGUCUAUAAAGAGGCAAGCAGCUUCAUUGGGCUGGUUUUGGUAAUAACUCGAGUUGAUGCUGCAAAAUUACUGACAUCCUGUGCGAUGAUUUAAUCUUGCUAUCUGAUGCUCAUGUUUUUAGGGAGUGCGCUGCUCAAGGUUAAUUUAUUCUUUAAAUAUCAUGACAUGGCUUUCAGUAUCGUUCGUAAUUGAUAUUAAUUUAAUCCAUUUUUUUGCAUUAUAGGUAGCCUAAUCUUCAGGAUAAUUUUACUAUGGUAUAUAUUUAUACUCAGCUCAUCUAUCAUGUAAGUUACAUGGUAUAAAUUGGACUCUUUUACACAAACAAUCUCCCACGUUAACUCAACAUAUAUACAUUUUUUAGAUCCUAAUUUAAAGCAAAGUAAUUGUCUUAAUGUGGAAGUUUCACCAUUUAAUUGUCUUAGUGUAGUUAUAUGGUGCAUGAAGUUGUUUUAGCUACAGUUUUAGUUCAGGUAUACCUAUUUUUAUAAUAUUCACUGUCAAUCGAUUAUUUGUGCCAGCAAGGUAAGGAGCUACUACAAAUUCUUUCAUAUUUAUCUGCCUUAAUUUAGGUGCUAUUUUAUUCACACACAUGUGCACAAGUAACAGAUGUCAAUCAAUGCUAAAUCACUCAGGUCACUGUGUAUAUGUGAUCCUGCCUCUUGAAUAAUUAGUGGAACACCAUUGUGAACGGCUCAAGGAGAAAGCUAAUGUAGUUGUCGCCUUGCAGGUACAAUUAAUGUCAAGUAAGGUGGGUGAGAAAAAUGCCGGUGUAGGACAAUUGAAGUGGAGGUGUGAUCGCUGCAUUGGGAUCAAUGAUUACUUAAGAGACAAAGGUUUGAUUUAGUUGUAUGUAUCCAGUUGAGUCGGAUUUGCGGAUUUGCGUCGGCCGAAGUAAAUUUCUGCAUGAAUUUGUUAGUAUUUACUUCUACUUAAUCAAUACGUGUACACAUAACUCUUUUUUAAGUAGGAUUGAAUAUUAGAAUAAUUUUUUGAUGAGUGCUUAAGUAUAUCUUCCUAGAUUUCUAGAUGGAUUAAUAUCUCUAUCAAUUGGAUGUUGCACCUAUGCAUAUAAUAUCACCAUGUAACUAAAGGAUAUGUCCCCUGUAUCGAUGAUAUUACUACCUAUGUUUCUCUGAAUAACCUUCGUGGACUGAUUAACUGGGUGCAUUAUCUUAUAGGAUUUUAGCAAUGUUUAUCUACCGCCACUGAAUAUAAAAGUUUGCUCCCUGCAAACAAAAAAAAGAAUAUAAAGUUUGCCAAUAUAAUAUAAAAGUUUGCCUUUGGAAUGUUCAGGUAUACUUAAUUAGAGUUUUACAUGAUACACACGGACUAGAAAUUCUUACGUCCACUUGACAUAAAAGGGAAAAUGCAUUUUGAAUUCUAUCCAAUAAGACAGGCUUUCUUUUGACGCCGUGGAUAUCACAUUAUUUCAGAAAAUAGUAAAAUCUAUGAAAUAGAUUUGGUGCUAUAUCUAAUAGAAGAAAUAGUUGGUGUUCCAACAUACAUUAAGUUAUUCUACCAAAGAGAUUACUUAUAAAAGGAUUGUGCAGCAGAGAGUGCAUUUGACGACUCCGUAUCAAAUAUAUUCUAACUUCAGUACGGAGACUACUAGAUAUAUUGGUUAGCUGGGGCUGAAGCAUUACACAAUUUUAAUACCAUGAAAUAGAUUUUGUGAUAUAUCUAGUACAAGAAAUAGUUGGUGUUCCAACAUACAUUUAGUUAUUAUAGUAAAGAAAUAUGUAUAUGAGAAAAAAAUGCUAAUUAGGCUGUAAAACUCAUACUGUUUUGGUAUACUCCUAAUUUGGACAUACUGCAUACUUCUUUUUCAGAUACCAUCAUUUUUUUCUUGCAGGCGGCAAUGGCAAGAGCAUAUUGUGCAGAGGAAGAGGAUGAACCUUAAUGCGUUGAACCUUGUAUACUAGAACCUUGCAGGUGUUUUUGCAGAAGUAUUCUGUUGUGUACAUGUAAAAUUAUGUUGAUGCGCCCUUGUUAGGCGUUGAACCUUAAUGCGUGUAGUCGGUGGAUGAUGUAUUGUAUUUGAUGUGAUAUGCUAUUGAAAUGAAAUAUACAUUUUAUUUGCAAUCUUUUAUUCUAUUGUACUUAUUUUUAAUGGGCCUAUCCUGCGAUAUGGGUGCUUCUAUUAAAAAAAUGCUUCAACCCAAACAAAUGAGACAUUUUCAAUAGUAAAAUAGGUAUUGGGCUAGGCCAUGUAGCUAGAU
rnacentral:lncRNA from 1 species